rnacentral:rRNA from 1 species
CCUACGGGUGGCAGCAGUGAGGAAUAUUGGUCAAUGGACGAGAGUCUGAACCAGCCAAGUAGCGUGAAGGAUGAAUGCCCUAUGGGUUGUAAACUUCUUUUAUAUGGGAAUAAAAUGUUCCACGUGUGGGAUUUUGUAUGUACCAUAUGAAUAAGGAUCGGCUAACUCCGUGCCAGCAGCCGCGGUAAUACGGAGGAUCCGAGCGUUAUCCGGAUUUAUUGGGUUUAAAGGGAGCGUAGGUGGAUUGUUAAGUCAGUUGUGAAAGUUUGCGGCUCAACCGUAAAAUUGCAGUUGAAACUGGCAGUCUUGAGUACAGUAGAGGUGGGCGGAAUGCGUGGUGUAGCGGUGAAAUGCUUAGAUAUCACGAAGAACUCCGAUUGCGAAGGCAGUUCACUGGACUGCAACUGACACUGAGGCUCGAAAGUGUGGGUAUCAAACAGGAUUAGAUACCCUAGUAGUC